rnacentral:lncRNA from 1 species
GUCCCCCAGUCCAGCUGGCUGUGGACGACUCCUCAGACGAAGGGGAGCUGUUUCUGAAGAAACAGGAGGACUUUGAACAGAAGUACAAUUUCCGUUUCGAGGAGCCGGACUCAGCAUCGGUCAAGACCCUGUCUCUUGAAAAAAAAAAAAAAAUUAAAAAACACGUGUAGCUGUGGGUAAGGAAGUCGUCCCAUUUUAUGGAUGUGGAAACUGAGGCUGACUUAAACUUCCCGUGACUUGGAGCUCUCACCUCGAGACACCUCCCAGACCCCACAUCCCCUCAGAACGCUGCGCCCAGCCACACCCACGAUCAAGUUACACAGCUUUAUUGGCCCCCAGCAGCCACAGUUCCCCCAAGGGGGCUUUGGGACAGGGAGGGCCCGGGCGUCCAGUGCAAACUACAGUACGUGAGUCAGGCCCUGAGGGGGGUGCCCGGGGUCCUCCUUCCCUACCCUGCCAGGAGGGCCCCGCUGGUGGGAGACAGGUGUAUGGGCUCUGUGGGCUCUGUCCCUGGCU